AUUGAACGCUGGCGGCAUGCCUAACACAUGCAAGUCGAACGGCAGCAUGGUCUGGUUUACCAGACUGAUGGCGAGUGGCGGACGGGUGAGUAAAGCGUAGGAAUAAGCCUUAUAGAGGGGGAUAACACGGGGAAACUCGUGCUAAUACCGCAUAAAGUCGCGAGACCAAAGCUGGGGAUCUUCGGACCUGGCGCUGUAAGAUUAGCUUACGUCCGAGUAGCUAGUUGGGGGGGUAAAGGCCUACCAAGGCGACGAUCGGUAGCUGUUCUGAGAGGAAGGCCAGCCACACUGGGACUGAGACACGGCCCAGACUCCUACGGGAGGCAGCAGUGGGGAAUAUUGGACAAUGGGGGCAACCCUGAUCCAGCAAUGCCGCGUGUGUGAAGAAGGCCUGCGGGUUGUAAAGCACUUUCAGUGGUGAGGAAGUUUGGCGGGUUAAGAGCUGGUCAAAUUGACGUUAACCACAGAAGAAGCACCGGCUAACUCCGUGCCAGCCGCCGCGGUAA
rnacentral:rRNA from 1 species